rnacentral:rRNA from 1 species
UACAGAGGUCUCAAGCGUUGUUCGGAUUCAUUGGGCGUAAAGGGUGCGUAGGCGGCGCGGUAAGUCGGGUGUGAAAUCUCGGAGCUUAACUCCGAAACUGCAUUCGAUACUGCCGUGCUUGAGGACUGGAGAGGAGACUGGAAUUUACGGUGUAGCGGUGAAAUGCGUAGAUAUCGUAAGGAAGACCAGUGGCGAAGGCGGGUCUCUGGACAGUUCCUGACGCGGAGGCACGAAGGUCAGGGGAGCAAACGGG